GCAUUAAUGGGGUAGUGGUAACCUGGGUUGUUGCCAUGUGGCAUCAACUUGUAUUUCUCGACCCGCCGGGGGUUCGAUUCCCUCUUGAUGCA